rnacentral:tRNA from 1 species
UUUCUGGUGGCUCAGUGGUAGAGUGCUUGCCUUGCAUGCAAGAGGCCCUGGGUUCGAUUCCUCAGUAAC